UUCAUCGUAAGAGUAGUAAAACUAUUUGUUACUACUUUGAUAAGAAAGAAUUCGUUCGUAACGUUCGUUCCCCGAAGAAUAAUUUAUACAACGCUACGAACGAAUCGUUAUUAUUUCACGACAUGAUUAUUACGCUGAAUUAUAGAAUGACAAUAUUAUGAAAGGCAAAUUACAUGUUGAUUCUAUAAAAUUUGAAUGUUUCUCAGCUCCAGACGACCGAACGUCCAUCUUCCGCGAAGGUUUAUUCGAUUGUUUUCGACUGCUAAAUCCAGUUCUGGUGUCUGACAUAUUACGGAGAAGACUGUGUCUAAAGUACCCUGGUAAAUGUUACGAAUGCAAAAGAUAAUACGACUUGUUUAAUAAGCCUAUAAUGCAGUUAAAAUCAAAAGUCUUUUCCAAAAAUAAGAUUUACUAAUAUCAUUUCCACGAGAACUUGACAAGUUGAUUAAAUAUCAUACGUGUGUUGAAGUUUAUUAAAAAUCUAACUUCAGGGUGUUAAGAAGAUAUGUCAACGUCAAGGUCAACCAUCUACGAUUCAAGGUCAUUCAAGGUCACUGACUAAUAAAGCACUGAUAUGAAUAAGAA